rnacentral:rRNA from 1 species
UAGAGUUUGAUCCUGGCUCCGACGAACGCUGGCGGCGUGCCUAAUACAUGCAAGUCGAACGCGUCUUGGUUAAUGAUGUUAGGUGCUUGCAUUUAACUGAUUUAACAUUGAGACGAGUGGCGAACUGGUGAGUAACACGUGGGUAACCUGCCCCGAAGUGGGGGAUAACACUUGGAAACAGGUGCUAAUACCGCAUAACAACGAAAACCACAUGGUUUUCGUUUGAAAGAUGGCUUCGGCUGUCACUUUUGGAUGGACCCGCGGCGUAUUAGCUUGUUGGUGAGGUAACGGCUCACCAAGGCCAUGAUACGUAGCCGACCUGAGAGGGUAAUCGGCCACAUUGGGACUGAGACACGGCCCAAACUCCUACGGGAGGCAGCAGUAGGGAAUCUUCCACAAUGGACGAAAGUCUGAUGGAGCAACGCCGCGUGAGUGAUGAAGGGUUUCGGCUCGUAAAACUCUGUUGUUGGAGAAGAACAGGUGAUAGAGUAACUGUUAUCAUCUUGACGGUAUCCAACCAGAAAGCCACGGCUAACUACGUGCCAGCAGCCGCGGUAAUACGUAGGUGGCAAGCGUUGUCCGGAUUUAUUGGGCGUAAAGCGAGCGCAGGCGGUUUUUUAGGUCUGAUGUGAAAGCCUUCGGCUUAACCGGAGAACGGCAUCGGAAACCGGGAGACUUGAGUGCAGAAGAGGACAGUGGAACUCCAUGUGUAGCGGUGAAAUGCGUAGAUAUAUGGAA